CUUCGCUUCGUCUGCUGUUGUACGAGCAUCCUGGCUAGCGAAUGAGCUGAAUAAGGGAUCAAAUACGGUAUCAAUGUUGUUGAUCGGGCAUCCAUCCCUGCUCCUUCUGGCUGCAGUAGUGGACGCGGCAACCUGUACAGACCAUAGAUAGUCGAAUUGCCAACAAUCAUGACCUUCAGAGAUGAGACCUCUGAAGCGACCCAGACAAGGAUGUAAAUUGGUACUCUACAUGAAAUGGUGUCAUGAUGAACCAUCUCUACCUUAACACCCAGAUAGAGUCUGGCCCCAGCCCAUAGGAUCAAUUUGAAGUAAGUAGUCAUCUUUACUUUGGGGAAGCUUUUGAACUUUGAUCUUUCACAGUGAUGAGCUUUUACUUCGGUCCGUGUUGUUGACACUUGGUGAGAAUAACAAAAGUUCUGAGAACGUUCUUUUUAUGUACUUUGUUGGACCAUG
ensembl:lncRNA